rfam:Salmo salar isolate Sally breed double haploid chromosome ssa01, whole genome shotgun sequence.
UGCAUUCACUACUGUAAGUCGCUCUUGAUAAGAGUGUCUGCUAAAUGACUCAAA